rnacentral:rRNA from 1 species
GACGAACGCUGGCGGCGUGCCUAAUACAUGCAAGUAGAACGCACAGUUUAUAUCGUAGCUUGCUACACCAUAGACUGUGAGUUGCGAAUGGGUGAGUAACGCGUAGGUAACCUGCCUGGGAGCGGGGGAUAACUAUUGUAAACGAAAGCUAUUACCGCAUAAUAUUAAUUAUUGCAGGAUAAUUGAUUGAAAGGUGCAAUUGCACCACUACCAGAUGGACCUGCGUUGUAUUAGCUAGUAGGUGAGGUAACGGCUCACCUAGGCGACGAUACAUAGCCGACCUGAGAGGGUGAUCGGCCACACUGGGACUGAGACACGGCCCAGACUCCUACGGGAGGCAGCAGUAGGGAAUCUUCGGCAAUGGACGAAAGUCUGACCGAGCAACGCCGCGUGAGUGAAGAAGGUUUUCGGAUCGUAAAGCUCUGUUGUAAGAGAAGAACGGGUGUGAGAGUGGAAAGCUCACACUGUGACGGUAACUUACCAGAAAGGGACGGCUAACUACGUG